CACGUAGGGCGCAAGCGUUGUCCGGAAUUAUUGGGCGUAAAGAGCUCGUAGGCGGUCUGUUGCGUCCGCUGUGAAAACUCGGGGCUUAACCCCGGGCCUGCAGUGGGUACGGGCAGACUAGAGUGCGGUAGGGGAGACUGGAAUUCCUGGUGUAGCGGUGAAAUGCGCAGAUAUCAGGAGGAACACCGGUGGCGGAGGCGGGUCUCUGGGCCGAUAUUGACGCUGAGGAGCGAAAGCGUGGGGAGCGAACAGG
rnacentral:rRNA from 1 species